rnacentral:misc_RNA from 1 species
GAAGAAGAAGAAGAAGAAAGAAAACUACAGAUGCCUGCAGCUGAGACUUUUAGUUAUAGAAAACAUAAAUGUGCGUUCCUUUAGUUCCUCCAUCCUUGUUAUUGAUUCUGAACUGGAAGGUCAAUUCAAAGGCACAAUGAGCCACAAUGUGGAUUGAGUAAGCUAAUUUCAGAAACCAAGAGGCUUCUUAUUCCCCUAUAUUUGCUGAUUAAAGAGAGAGACUUCACCAGAUUGAGAUUCAACCUUUUGUUAGCUGCUCUCUCUUUUUUCUUCUCCUCAUGAUAGAAUUUGCUAUUGAACUGUUUUACAUGCUCAAUCAAUACUCUAAUCACUAGAUCAUAAUUCUCAAUUGCAAAAUUCAAUUGAUCAAUAAUUAUAACUUGUUACAUUGAGAAACUUGUCCUUAUUCAAGAGGAGCAAAGUGAUAAAUGAAAA